rnacentral:rRNA from 1 species
AUUGAACGCUGGCGGCAUGCUUUACACAUGCAAGUCGGACGAGUGGCGAACGGGUGAAUAACAUAUCGGACCGUACCGAGUAAUGGGGGAUAACUUGUCGAAAGAACAGCUAAUACCGCAUAUUAUUCGAGCGGCCGAUGUCUGAUUAGCUGGUGGGUGGGGUAAAGGCACACCAAGGCGACGAUCAGUAGCGGGUCUGAGAGGAUGAUCCGCCACACUGGGACUGAGACACGGCCCGGACUCCUACGGGAGGCAGCAGUGGGGAAUUUUGGACAAUGGGCGCAAGCCUGAUCCAGCCAUGCCGCGUGUCUGAAGAAGGCCUUCGGGUUGUAAAGGACUUUUGUCAGGGAAGCGGUACCUGAAGAAUAAGCACCGGCUAACUACGUGCCAGCAGCCGCGGUAAUUC